AUGUCCACAGACAGGUGUUGUCAUCCCUGCUCCUUAAGGACUUUUGUUUGCAACAGACAAAAACCAUCAGUUACAAAAGACUACAAGCAAUUGAAACAGAGUUGAAGAGCCCAGUUCCAACUGAUACAUCUACUAGACUCAACAGCGGUCCAUAAUGCUGCGACAGAAUGGUGCUGUGCCAGCUUCAGGCUCCAGCCUCCAGGCUCCAGGCUGCUCCAGGCUCCUCCAGGCUCCUCCAGGCUCCUCCAGGCUCCAGACUGUGGAUUCAUUCCUGAAACGCAGCCCUUUCCUGGCUGAUAAGGGUAACAAUGACUGGAUGUCUGAGCCAGUAACUUCAGUACCACCCCAGUAUAGGAGGAGUCGAGUAUUUAAGAUUGCACUCUCAUCUUCAGAACUUCAUUCAAG
rnacentral:lncRNA from 1 species